rnacentral:rRNA from 1 species
UACGUAGGGGGCGAGCGUUGUCCGGAUUUAUUGGGCGUAAAGAGCGUGUAGGCGGCCAGGUAGGUCUGCUGUGAAAACUCGAGGCUCAACCUCGAGACGUCGGCGGAAACCAUCUGGCUAGAGUCCGGAAGAGGAGAGUGGAAUUCCUGGUGUAGCGGUGAAAUGCGCAGAUAUCAGGAAGAACACCCGUGGCGAAGGCGGCUCUCUGGCUCGGUACUGACGCUGAGGUGCGAAAGCGUGGGGAGCGAACAGG